CCUACGGGUGGCAGCAGUGGGGAAUAUUGGACAAUGGGCGAAAGCCUGAUCCAGCCAUGCCGCGUGUGUGAAGAAGGCCUUCGGGUUGUAAAGCACUUUCAGUGGGGAAGAAAGCCUUGGGGCUAAUACCCUCGAGGAAGGACAUCACCCAUAGAAGAAGCACCGGCUAACUCCGUGCCAGCAGCCGCGGUAAUACGGAGGGUGCGAGCGUUAAUCGGAAUUACUGGGCGUAAAGCGCGCGUAGGCGGUCUGAUAAGCCGGUUGUGAAAGCCCCGGGCUCAACCUGGGAACGGCAUCCGGAACUGUCAGGCUAGAGUGCAGGAGAGGAAGGUAGAAUUCCCGGUGUAGCGGUGAAAUGCGUAGAGAUCGGGAGGAAUACCAGUGGCGAAGGCGGCCUUCUGGACUGACACUGACGCUGAGGUGCGAAAGCGUGGGUAGCAAACAGGAUUAGAUACCCUAGUAGUC
rnacentral:rRNA from 1 species